CAGGCUUAACACAUGCAAGUCGAGGGGCAGCAUGGUCUUAGCUUGCUAAGGCCGAUGGCGACCGGCGCACGGGUGAGUAACACGUAUCCAACCUGCCGUCUACUCUUGGACAGCCUUCUGAAAGGAAGAUUAAUACAAGAUGGCAUCAUGAGUCCGCAUGUUCACAUGAUUAAAGGUAUUCCGGUAGACGAUGGGGAUGCGUUCCAUUAGAUAGUAGGCGGGGUAACGGCCCACCUAGUCUUCGAUGGAUAGGGGUUCUGAGAGGAAGGUCCCCCACAUUGGAACUGAGACACGGUCCAAACUCCUACGGGAGGCAGCAGUGAGGAAUAUUGGUCAAUGGGCGAGAGCCUGAACCAGCCAAGUAGCGUGAAGGAUGACUGCCCUAUGGGUUGUAAACUUCUUUUAUAAAGGAAUAAAGUCGGGUAUGGAUACCCGUUUGCAUGUACUUUAUGAAUAAGGAUCGGCUAACUCCGUGCCAGCAGCCGCGGUAAUACGGAGGAUCCGAGCGUUAUCCGGAUUUAUUGGGUUUAAAGGGAGCGUAGAUGGAUGUUUAAGUCAGUUGUGAAAGUUUGCGGCUCAACCGUAAAAUUGCAGUUGAUACUGGAUAUCUUGAGUGCAGUUGAGGUAGGCGGAAUUCGUGGUGUAGCGGUGAAAUGCUUAGAUAUCACGAAGAACUCCGAUUGCGAAGGCAGCCUGCUAAGCUGCAACUGACAUUGAGGCUCGAAAGUGUGGGUAUCAAACAGGAUUAGAUACCCUGGUAGUCCACACGGUAAACGAUGAAUACUCGCUGUUUGCGAUAUACAGCAAGCGGCCAAGCGAAAGCGUUAAGUAUUCCACCUGGGGAGUACGCCGGCAACGGUGAAACUCAAAGGAAUUGACGGGGGCCCGCACAAGCGGAGGAACAUGUGGUUUAAUUCGAUGAUACGCGAGGAACCUUACCCGGGCUUAAAUUGCAGAUGAAUUACGGUGAAAGCCGUAAGCCGCAAGGCAUCUGUGAAGGUGCUGCAUGGUUGUCGUCAGCUCGUGCCGUGAGGUGUCGGCUUAAGUGCCAUAACGAGCGCAACCCUUGUUGUCAGUUACUAACAGGUUCCGCUGAGGACUCUGACAAGACUGCCAUCGUAAGAUGUGAGGAAGGUGGGGAUGACGUCAAAUCAGCACGGCCCUUACGUCCGGGGCUACACACGUGUUACAAUGGGGGGUACAGAGGGCCGCUACCACGCGAGUGGAUGCCAAUCCCCAAAACCUCUCUCAGUUCGGACUGGAGUCUGCAACCCGACUCCACGAAGCUGGAUUCGCUAGUAAUCGCGCAUCAGCCACGGCGCGGUGAAUACGUUCCCGGGCCUUGUACACACCGCCCGUCAAGCCAUGGGAGCCGGGGGUACCUGAAGUGCGUAACCGCGAGGAGCGCCCUAGGGUAAAACUGGUGACUGGGGCUA
rnacentral:rRNA from 1 species